UUUUAACGGCUGCGGUAUUUUGACUGUGCUAAGGUAGCAUAAUCAUUUGUUAUUUAAUUGGUAGCUAGAAUGAAAGGUUAAACUAGCUUAUUAGGUUUGUUAAGUUAUAUAGAAGUUUAAAGUUAAGGUAAGAAUUCUUUAAUUUUCUAGGGGACGAUAAGACCCUAGAAGCUUGACAAUGAGGUGUUUAAUUAGUUUUAGAAAUUUAUUUGUUUUACUGGGGCGGUAAAAGUAAGUAAGCUAUUUAUUAUUUAAAUGAUCCUAAUAAUAUAGAUAAAAUGGGUAAGUUACUCUAGGGAUAA
rnacentral:rRNA from 1 species